rnacentral:lncRNA from 1 species
UUGAUAAUUCCUAUGCAUUGCUAUCCAGUGCUUACACAUAGACGGUGCAUUCUCUGGAAUUCACCCUGGGUCAGAGCCUUCUCACCUCCCAGCACAAGCCAGUAGCUUAAGCCUCAGUGUCCCAGCUUCGGUGCACUGGGCAGGAGAUGGGUCUCCCAAGACCACUCAGCCAUGUGGUUCCUUCAGCUCUCAGCACAGCCGAGUCCAGGCUGCAGGCUCUCCAUCACAAGCCAACUACAGAGUGACACAUGUUCUCUACACAUGCCGUGACUGAAUAUGUUGUGUUCUGAAAAUAUUUGGGAGUUAAUUUGUGUUUUGUGCCUAGUGCUUCAUGGACCGGUGCUCAUUGCAUCCUUACAGCCAUCUACAAGGGUGUCACCAUUAUUUGUAUUUUAUUAGACUUAGAGAGGUGAAGUGACUUGCUCAAAAUAAUACGGUUAGCAAAUGACUGAACCCCGACCCAACAGGGAGAAUGUGGGAAGAAAUCAACAAAGCUUAUUUAACAGGUAUCUGCCAAGGGUUGGAAAAAAUAAGAUUUAUUGUUGCUCCACUGAGCAGAACACAGCCCAUCAGAGGUUACUGCACCUUCAACGACAUGUGCUUUUGACUGACCCAUCAAAACACUGGUGGCAAGAGCACUAAAUAAGUUGCCUAUCAUACUUAAUCUUUCCAGGAUUCAAAGAGGAGUGUAGAGUGAAAUGACCUAUAAGACCCCUGAGCCUAAAAUAUAAUCUAAUGGACUCAGCUUUAAAGCGCUCAUUGAGAGGAUGGCCAAAAACCAGCCGCCACAGUGCGAAGCACGAUUCCUCCACCAUCCGCAGUCCACUCGCACAAAUACCCUCAGUGAAACACUUCUUUCUCUCCACCCACUUUUGAGUAGGAUGAAAUGGCACAUUCCAUUUUCAAAGUGGGCAGCUUGCACGUAUCAGCAGUGCCAGGAAUUUGGAAAACGAUAACGUGGAACCCACAGUAACUUGCUGGCUGAAUUUACUCACCCAGGUGACCCAGGUCGAUGAGGGCUUCAGAGCCACGGGGAUUUUAAAUGCCGCUUCAAAGCCAACAAGGAGCAGAACCAGUGCUGAUUCGUGUUUAUGAUAAUGACAUUUGAAAGGCUAAAAAUUACAAAGUUGUUUACAGAGAUGGACUUAGAAAAUAAUUGUAUCUAAUGUCUCAUAAACAUAAAAGAAAGUUAUUUUGUAGUAGAUGAUUGAAAAGAAAAAAUCUCCUUUAAAAAGGAAAUAAAUAUACUAGUUUCAGACAGAAACAACUUCAAAGGCAAUCAGAAAAUUCAGUGGAAUUUUAAAGAGGGAAUCUCACUCAAAGAAUUCUCUAAAAUUGCCUAAACUUAAAAGCAUUAUUUUUCUCGAGACAUUUAAUUUAGAUUGCAUACCAAACCCUGUAAUAAACCUCCUGCAAAGAAAUAAUAAUAGACCAUAGGCAUUAUAUAUGUUCACUGUUCACUGCGUGUAAAUACAAUGAUUGACCUUCCAUCAACAGACAAGAGGCAUAACUCCAUGGCAACAGAGAAAUAGAGGUCACAAUCAUAUUUUCCAAGGCAAUUUUUGGCCCUCGGGGGAUUCACUGUUAUACUUGGAGGCCAUGUCACCUGAGAGUCAAUGGGCAACGAUCAAAUUUCACCUUGAGCAGAUUCUUUUGUUUGCUUUUUAGUCACAAAUAGCUUGGCCCUAAGUGGUGGCUCCCAUUCUUGUAAGAUGCGUUUAUUCAUCGUGUAAUCACCAGUUCCCUGUAGUGGGGGCGUGGAUGGAGUGUCAGAGGCUCCUGCUGGUCUUUAGGGUGUCUGGCCUCCAGGAAUCCUAGAGGUAGUAUUUGGAGAGAUUUUUAAAAGCUUUGUUUCUGUGACCAGCAAAACCUGGAUUUGACACUGAGGUCAGCCCGUUUCAGCCAGUGACGUAACCUGUCUUUUUGCCCCAGUAAAUUGGGAACUACAGCACUCGAUGUUAGAGUUGUCGUGAAGAUUAAAGAAGGUGACGACUGGACAACUCCCAGCCCAAUACCUGAAACUGUACCAGCACCCAGUGAGCACUGCUAUUCCUGUGACUGCUGCACAUUUGCCUUAUCUCAGCAGUAUGCCUGUGUCACUUUUUUGGCACUCUUUUCUCAUGGGUACAUUCAGAGAAGAGGAAUGUUUGUUCACUGGUGAAGAGAACAUCCCGUGUACUAUCGUGUAGAAGUUGUAGUAGACGCUGUGGUCUUUCCAACAACAAACAAAAAAAAGGAAAAAAAAAGUGAAUUUCUUGCCCAGAUCUGCAACAACUUCUAAGAUCUGACCUGUAGCCACCCACACCUGGAAGCUCCAGCCUUGCCUCUCCCCAGUUCACCCAGUAAGCGCUGGACACGGGGCUGAGCUGGGACUUCGAUGCUUACUCUGCCUGGAAACCUCCUUUCUCUCUCCCCACUUCUGAGGCUCCGCUCAGGUGCUGUUUUACCUGAAACCCUCCAGGCUGUUCUCUCUGGAAAUGCCUCUCUCUUCUGCCCUUUAUCUUCCACCUGAAUGGGAGGAUGUCUCAUUCCUAACACUCAGGACAGGUCUUCAUAGCGUUUAUCCUGCUUUGUCAUCUGCAUGCCCCACAGGGCUGAGAGCUCCAAGGAGCUGUGAAUCACACCUCCGACUCCCCCCAGGGUACAGGAACGGGGUUCAGAAUGCUCUUCCCAAAGCUGCUGGGACAGGACCCAGGAGGUUCCGGAGGAUCAGGAGGUCCACCUGGGAGAAGAGCUGAUCGGCUAGUAGGAGAGCUGGAAAAGCAACAGACACCUACUUAGUCCCUUCCCUGGGGCCCGGCUCCAGUCUGAGCUGUCACGCCACAGCAAAGGCAUCACUUCAGGACAGCAAAGCCCCUGUCUCCCUCCCUUCCAGCUCCUCAGACUUCACCCUGGUAACACGUUUGUUUAAAAAACAUAUUUUUCCCCCUUGUAAAGAAUCUAGGAUACAAGGGGUCAGCCCAGCAGUUUAGGUAUCAAGAAGAAACUGCUCUCGGAGCUAAAGUAAGAAACAGUGCCUGUCUAUAGCGCAAAUAAAGAGUUGGAACAAGAUAAAAGGCAGUGAUCCUUCACCAGCCAAUCUCCAGGUGGAUCUCAGGAAUCCUGUGUGAUGUGUGACAUCAUCUGGGAAAGCCCCGCAGUUGCCAUGGAGACGCACCUCCCAGGCCUCGGGAAGCUGCCCCACCUCUCUGCCACCUUCUUCCAGACUGGUCAUGGCAGGCUGGCUCUGAUCUGGGUCCCAGACAGAGGGGAAUUGGUUUGCCUUUUUUCUUUUCUUUUCUUCUUUUUUUUCUUUUCUUUUCUUUGUAAACUGCAAUGACCGUGUGUGUGUGUGUGUUUGUGUGUGUGUGUCUGUGUAUGCAUAUAUAUAAAGAAAGAGAGAGAAAAAAAAACAGAGUGCCCCACGACGCAAGGUGCCCACCUUGACAAAUACACUGUGGGCAGACAAUAAACCCUUAUGAGGUUCUGGAGUGGCAGCAGCAAUGGCCUCCUGCCCUCCUGGCGGGCUGGAGCCUCCUCCUGGCAGGUGGGGUAGGGUUGAAACAUCAGAAAUGCCGAGAAAUGUCUCGGUGCAGCCUGAUUACAGAGACACUUGUGAUCCAUGAUUUCUGCUGCUCCACUGCUGAAAAAAAGAAAAAGGCCUGGAGUGCCUCAUCCGCUGUGGUUUCUCUCCCAUUUAAGUAAAAUUGGAAACUUUUUUAAAAAGAAAGCACAAUCAUGUAAUUAGUGCAGGCUCUCUUUUCUGGUUUUUUGAAAAGAGGCAUUUUCACACACACCUUAGUCCAUCUUAAACCCUUUCAACGUUCUGCAUGCUCUUCCUAAUUCCAGAGAGACAGAAUUUUUAUUUCCUUCGAUCGCAGGGAUACCUACAAUGGAAUUUACGUCUCAAUUAACAGUUUGACCAAGGGUUUACAAGUGGUUGAAUGGAGUACAAAUGAAGAAUUCGAAGAAACGCAAAGAGAGAAAGUGGACCGCCCAUAGACACCUGCUCUAUGCAAACAAUGGACUCCUUCCCUUUAUCUUAAGGGGUCUUACGCUACCUGUUUCUACGUCCUUUGCUGGUUCCCAUGACAGAAAUACACACGUUUCAGACAAGAUUAAAAUACAAAAUCCCAACCAUAGCCUCAUCUUUGCACACACACUCUCUCAUUUCCUGUUGGUACCAGCACUUUUCUAUUUCGGUCCUGGGUAUGGCUCACUAACCUACAGCAG